GACGAACGCUGGCGGCGUGCUUAACACAUGCAAGUCGAACGAUGAAGGAGAGCUUGCUCUCCGGAUUAGUGGCGAACGGGUGAGUAACACGUGACUAACCUGCCCCUUUCUCUGGGAUAACGCUCCGAAAGGAGUGCUAAUACCGGAUACGAACUCUGAGCACAUGUUCGGAGUUGGAAAGUUUUUCGGAAAGGGAUGGAGUCGCGGCCUAUCAGCUUGUUGGUGAGGUAACGGCUCACCAAGGCGACGACGGGUAGCCGGCCUGAGAGGGCGACCGGCCACACUGGGACUGAGACACGGCCCAGACUCCUACGGAAGGCAGCAGGGGGGAAUAUUGCACAAUGGGCGAAAGCCUGAUGCAGCGACGCCGCGUGAGGGAUGAAGGUCUUCGGAUUGUAAACCUCUUUCAGUAGGGACGAAGCGAAAGUGACGGUACCUAAAGAAGAAGCACCGGCUAACUACGUGCCAGCCGCCGCCGUAA
rnacentral:rRNA from 1 species